rnacentral:ncRNA from 1 species
UGUUCGAGACUUGAGACGAUCUGUCCUUAGUACGAGAGGACCGGGAUGGACGCACCACUGGUGGACCUGUUGUCCUGCCAAGGGCAGUGCAGGGUAGCUAUGUGCGGACGGGAUAACCGCUGAAGGCAUCUAAGCGGGAAACCCACGUCAAAACAAGGUCUCGCUAAAUAGGGCCGUGGGAGACGACCACGUCGAUAGGCCGGGUGUGUAAGCGCAGCAAUGUGUUCAGCUUACCGGUACUAAUAGCCCGA